AUUAGCGGGGUCCUCUUUGCCGAUCCUCGACAUGUGAUAAGAUGUUUCCAUGUCUUGGCUUUAUGGCUCUGUUGCCUUUGGGACCCGCUUCUAACCGUCUCAGCGAGACAACGUUCGAGCGUGUCCUCCCCUCUCGGGGACAACACUCUAACCCACGAAACCUUGACCUCAAAUCGGGUGAGACUACCCGCUGAACUUAA
rnacentral:misc_RNA from 1 species